rnacentral:rRNA from 1 species
CAGUCGCCGCGGUAAUACAGAGGGUGCGAGCGUUAAUCGGAUUUACUGGGCGUAAAGCGUGCGUAGGCGGCUUCUUAAGUCGGAUGUGAAAUCCCUGAGCUUAACUUAGGAAUUGCAUUCGAUACUGGGAAGCUAGAGUAUGGGAGAGGAUGGUAGAAUUCCAGGUGUAGCGGUGAAAUCCGUAGAGAUCUGGAGGAAUACCGAUGGCGAAGGCAGCCAUCUGGCCUAAUACUGACGCUGAGGUACGAAAGCAUGGGGAGCAAACAGGAUUAGAUACCCGCGUAGUCCCUGUCUCUUAUAC